CUAUUGCAGAAUCAAUAUCAGAUGCAGAAAGGACAAGACAAUGGAAUUAAAACAUUCAAAAUUCUUUUCAGUACUUCCAGAUGCCAAUAGCAGAGACGUACUGACAUGAAAACCUCAACAAAAAAGUUGUAUCUACCCCAUCUACCUCUGUGAUGACAGAAUCACAGAAUGGCUUGUGUUGGAAGGAACCUCAAGGAUCAUGAAGCUCCAACCCCCUCGCCACAAGCAGGGCCACCAACCUCUGCAUUUAAUCCCAGACCAGACCACAUUUAAUGCCCAGGGCCCCAUCCAACCUGACGUUGAACAUCUCCAGGGAUGAGGCAUCCACAACCUCUUUGUGCAGCUGUUCCAGCACCUCACCACUCUCAUAGUAAAGAAAUUACAGAUUAUGAAGUAGUGGUUCCUGUGUGUAUCUGCUGUGCUGACCUCACCUAUAAAUGACUCUGCAGUGGAAAAGAUUCUUCUGUUCCCAAAAAUAUAAAUUACUCUUUAGACUAGGUUUUGCAUUCAAGCUAAUACAAUGGUGUUACUCAUAAGAGUGAAAUUAUUUGUGUUCAGACACGUUCCUAGAAUUAAUAUGUAACAUCUCAAAUCAGAUCUAACAGGAUGAAAAUGCGGAAUUUUGGGGGUCCAAUUUUGAGUAUGUAUCAAUCACAAAUUAUGAUUCUGGAAAAAAAAGUAGUUGUAACUAUGAGGUUAAUUAUAGUAACUAUGAGGUAGAUUAUAUGUAGUCAUCAAAUAACAGUUUUGUUACGCAAUGAGUAUCUGUCUUUGCAGUUAUAACACUGCAUCAUUUCUUAAAGUUAGUAUUAUCUUGUAACUUCACAUUGUGUUUUAAUUGCCUACUUGAAUUUGCUGUGCUUUAGUAGUGAAGACUUGCUGAUUAGUAUAUUAAUUGUUUUUAAGUGUUAAUGUAAUGCUUGGGACUUAUUUAACUUGGAUAAAUUGUGGGAUCUUUUUUUCUCUUUUCCUUCUUUAAGAGCUCAGCACAUAUAUCGGUCGAAUCUCCCUAUGAACUCAAAUCCCUGCUCUUACAUAAUGGCUAUUAGACUUAUGCUGUAAAGCUAAUCGCAGCAGGUGCCAUCACAGGACAGUGGGACAGUAGUGAACAUCCUUCCUGGUCAGUGGUCUCUGAUGUCAGACCCAGACUUUAUCCUUCUUCUACUGUGCUUUUUCAGGUGAUGUUUAAAGCCUGAUUUGACUGAUUAGUGCCAAUAUAGUUGAUUAAAGUUGCUUAUUGUUUUAAUCUGUCAGCAGUGUGAAUGUCAUGCAUCUGCUUAGGUAGGAGUAGUGGUGAAUUGAAAGGUAAGAGCUAUGUCUGAUUUCCAAUAUGAGCUGUUUUAGCCAACCCCCAUCUGAUGGGAAGCCUGUACCACUACAGGACUCAAGCUGUGCCUUUGUACUGAUCUGCUGCUCCUCAAUUCAAGAAAUACUGCCUCAAAAUAAAGCUGUUUGUCUUAUGUCAAGAGAUGAUUUCAUAUGCUCUCAGCGGUAGCUUAAGGAGAACUUUAAUCACUGCUCUAUACUACGUUUUCAUGUGUUUUGCUUUGAUUGCUUUUAUAUACAUACAUUAGUGAAAUGGGGCAGGAACAGAGGAAGUUUUUGUUACAUUCUGAUGGUCUUUGACAGGUCCUGGAUGUAUUGGGACUGUCUCCUCAACCAAGGCAGAACCCGAGUUACACAAAGGAAAGCUGUAUUGGAGAAUUGGUCUUCCAGCUGGAGAAGCCAUGCAGAAGCACAUGAUAUCAUGAACAUUAUUAUUAUUUCCCAGAAACUACUGAAAAAAGCAGUUAGUUUUGUCAUAGACAUAAAUGUUCUGCUUGGUGUCAGUGUAACCUCCAUUGUUUGCAAAGGUGGUUACCUUGUGUGUGCAGAAGUCCUGCCCGCUACCAUUAGCCAUACCGUUAGCUGUUACAGGAGGCUCUGCUGGUCAGUCAUGGUGACCCAGUCUGGCCAUUUCUGAUAUUUAAUGCAAUUCUCAAGUUGUUGUAAAACUCCAUAAGAAAAAGCCAUGCUAUAAUGAACAGACGGAAAUAAAGCUUCCCUUGUCUAAUAGUGUUAAAAUAUAUAUAUGUAUCUGAAGAAGUAAGGAAAGUGUUUGUCAUCAGAAGUUUUUCAUAAGACUUUUCAUGAUCAUUGCAUUCAGUGUUCAUUUAUCAUUUAGAGAAAAAAAAAUUCAGUAAUUAUUUUCAACCAAUAUAGGAAGAGAUUGAGAGCAAAUAUUAAGAUCAUUUGAGAGGACAAUUGAGGAUUUUAUUAUUAUUAUUUAGUAUUUCUCACAGUGCCUCUUAUUGCUAUCAUGUCUGGUUCUUCUUUUUCUACGCUUAAAUAUUCAACACCUCUGUUGUUUUGGCAUCAACAACUGACUCUGUCAGUGUACAUAAGAAGCCUCUGAUCUCUUAUGCUACCUAUGCAGAUUCUGAAUCCUGAGCCAAAACUUGGUCAAGUCAGAGGGGGGUGUUCAUACAGAGUCCUAGAAAAAUCGUUAUGGGGAACAUCUAGUAUAUCUCAAAUUGUGUAGAGGAAUCUGCUGAAACAAAGCAUGCUGGUACCUAGCUUAACUUGUACUUGUUAAUUAUUAGUGAUUAAUUUUUAAUAGCUGUAUUUUAUAGCUUGUGGUUGGUUAUGCCCCAAGGUAAUGACUUCUUGUGUCUCAUAUUCUGUUAUUUGAAGGACAUCAUUCAAUAUAGCAUCUAUACAGCUUUGUUAAAGCAUUUAGAUCUAAAUUUUCUGCAGCAAAGACACAUUUAUUAAAUAGUCCAUAUGUUUAUUACUGUUCACAAUGAUCAAAUCCUGGGAAAACAUUGCAGAAAGAAAAUAUCUAGCUUCCUACCUUAAUUCCCAUUAUUCUAUUGAUUAGAAAAGUGAAGAUUACAUGUAUUAUCAACUGUAUUAUCAGAUAAUCCAUAAUCAGAUGCCAUUUUAAUGACAGGCAUGUGCUUUUUGUGGUGUUCCCUGGUAAAGCAGUAUGAAGAAUUUAAUGACUUCAUUAAAAGAUACUGCAUAACAAAGAAAGGAAAGCCCAAUGCCAUUUAAUAUUAUCUUUACAAUGUAUUACAUUGUUGAAUUGGAUUUUUUGUUUUGCUUAUUUGGUUUUGUUGUUGUUUUGCAAUUUUAUGUUCUGUAAGUUGAACAAUAAAUGUGUGAUAAGC
rnacentral:lncRNA from 7 species